CCUACGGGAGGCAGCAGUGGGGAAUAUUGCACAAUGGGCGAAACCCUGAUGCAGCGACGCCGCGUGAGUGAAGAAGUAAUUCGUUAUGUACAGCUCUAUCAGCAGGGAAGAAAAAGACGGUACCUGAGGAAGAUGCUACGGCUAACUCCGUGCCAGCAGCAGCGGUAAUACGGAGGGGGCAAGCGUUAUCCGGAUUUACUGGGUGUAAAGGGAGCGUAGACGGACGGGCAAGUAUGGCGUGAAAGUGGGGGGCUCAACCCCCGGAUUGCAGUCGAAACUGGCAGGCUUGAGUGCAGGAGAGGUAGGUGGAAUUCCUGGUGUAGCGGUGAAAUGCGGAGAUAUUAGGAGGAACACCAGUGGCGAAGGCGGCUUACUGGACUGAAACUGACGUUGAGGCUCGAAAGCGUGGGGAGCAAACAGGAUUAGAUACCCCGGUAGUC
rnacentral:rRNA from 1 species